AUGACGGAUUCGAAACUGCCCGAUAUCCAGUCCGGCUACGAAAAGGGCAUCACCGACGUGAUGGCCGGUCUUGCCGGCCUCAACCUCGUCUAUGAAUCGG
rfam:Mesorhizobium metallidurans STM 2683, WGS project CATM01000000 data, contig: ANX_1634_Contig_104